rnacentral:rRNA from 1 species
CUACGGGAGGCAGCAGUGGGGAAUAUUGCACAAUGGAGGAAACUCUGAUGCAGCAACGCCGCGUGGAGGAUGACACUUUUCGGAGCGUAAACUCCUUUUAUAUAGGAAGAAGAUGACGGUACUAUAUGAAUAAGCGCCGGCUAACUCCGUGCCAGCAGCCGCGGUAAUACGGAGGGCGCAAGCGUUACUCGGAAUCACUGGGCGUAAAGAGCGUGUAGGCGGAUUAAAAAGUCAGAAGUGAAAUCCUAUAGCUUAACUAUAGAACUGCUUCUGAAACUCUUAAUCUAGAAAGUGGGAGAGGUAGAUGGAAUUUCUGGUGUAGGGGUAAAAUCCGUAGAGAUCAGAAGGAAUACCGAUUGCGAAGGCGAUCUACUAGAACAUUAUUGACGCUGAGACGCGAAAGCGUGGGGAGCAAACAGGAUUAGAUACCCGGGUAGUC